AUGUCUAAGAUAGCCAUGCACGUCUAAGUACAAACUAAAUGAUGGUGAAACUGCAAAUGGCUCAUUACAACGGUUAUGAUGUACCCGGGAGUUCCGAUGGAUAUUUCCAGUAACACUAGAACUAAUACAUGUCCCUGCGUUUAUUAGUUUCGCACAGUCCGUCGCUGAGUCAUGGUAAACAGUUGAUCGACUCGACGUCCCGGAACAGUUUCCGCCCCAUCAGCUUCGAUGGUUGGGUAUUGGCCUACCAUUGCAACAACGGGUAACGAGGAAUUAGGGUUUGAUUUCGGAGAGGGAGCCUGAGAAACGGCUACCACAUCUACGGAUGGCAGCAGGCGCGCAAAUUACCCAAUGCAGACACUGUGAGGUAGUGACGAGAAAUAAUAAAGCGGGACUUCUGUUUCGCUAUUAUAAUGAGGAAUAACCAAAGGUCAUUCCGAUUAGCAACUGAUGGGAAAGCCUGGUGCCAGCAGCCGCGGUAAUACCAGCGUCAGUAGCAU
rnacentral:rRNA from 1 species